AGUGAACGCUGGCGGUAGGCCUAACACAUGCAAGUCGAACGGCAGCACAGUAAGAGCUUGCUCUUACGGGUGGCGAGUGGCGGACAGGUGAGGAAUACAUCGGAAUCUACUUUUUCGUGGGGGAUAACGUAGGGAAACUUACGCUAAUACCGCAUACGACCUACGGGUGAAAGCAGGGGAUCUUCGGACCUUGCGCGAUUGAAUGAGCCGAUGUCGGAUUAGCUAGUUGGCGGGGUAAAGGCCCACCAAGGCGACGAUCCGUAGCUGGUCUGAGAGGAUGAUAAGCCACACUGGAACUGAGACACGGUCCAGACCCCUACGGGAGGCAGCAGUGGGGAAUAUUGGACAAUGGGGGCAAGCCGGAUACAGCCAUACCGCGUGGGUGAAGAAGGACUUCGGGUUGUAAAGCCCUUUUGUUGGGAAAGAAAAGCAGCAGGUUAAUACCCCGCUGUUCUGACGGUACCCAAAGAAUAAGCACCGGCUAACUUCGUG
rnacentral:rRNA from 1 species